rnacentral:rRNA from 1 species
ACGUACACUCCUACGGGAGGCAGCAGUAGGGAAUCUUCCACAAUGGGUGCAAACCUGAUGGAGCAAUGCCGCGUGAGUGAAGAAGGUCUUCGGAUCGUAAAGCUCUGUUGUUAGAGAAGAACACGUGCUAGGUAACUACUAGCGCCUUGACGGUAUCUAACCAGAAAGUCACGGCUAACUACGUGCCAGCAGCCGCGGUAAUACGUAGGUGACAAGCGUUGUCCGGAUUUAUUGGGCGUAAAGGGAGCGCAGGCGGUCUGUUUAGUCUAAUGUGAAAGCCCACGGCUUAACCGUGGAACGGCAUUGGAAACUGACAGACUUGAAUGUAGAAGAGGAAAAUGGAAUUCCAAGUGUAGCGGUGGAAUGCGUAGAUAUUUGGAGGAACACCAGUGGCGAAGGCGAUUUUCUGGUCUAACAUUGACGCUGAGGCUCGAAAGCGUGGGGAGCGAACAGGAUUAGAAACCCGGGUAGUCCCAUGA